GGGUAUGCUGGCAGAGCGCCGGUUUUGCAUACCGGAGGCCAGGAGUUCGAAUCUCCUUGGCUCCA
rnacentral:tRNA from 1 species